rnacentral:rRNA from 1 species
CCUACGGGAGGCAGCAGUGGGGAAUCUUGCGCAAUGGGCGAAAGCCUGACGCAGCAACGCCGCGUGCGGGAAGAAGGCUUUCGGGCUGUAAACCGCUUUCAGCAGGAACGAAAAUGACGGUACCUGCAGAAGAAGGAGCGGCCAACUAUGUGCCAGCAGCCGCGGUGAUACAUAGGCUUCAAGCGUUGUCCGGAUUUAUUGGGCGUAAAGAGUUCGUAGGCGGUCGAGUAAGUCGGGUGUGAAAAUUCUGGGCUCAACCCAGAGACGCCACCCGAUACUGCUUAACUUGAGUUCGAUAGGGGAGUGGGGAAUUCCUAGUGUAGCGGCGAAAUGCGCAGAUAUUAGGAGGAACACCGGUGGCGAAGGCGCCACUCUGGAUCGACACUGACGCUGAGGAACGAAAGCAUGGGUAGCAAACAGGAUUAGAUACCCUGGUAGUCCAUGCGGUAAACGGUGGGCACUAGGUGUGGGUUUCUAUUAACGAAAUCCGCGCCGUCGCUAACGCAUUAAGUGCCCCGCCUGGGGAGUACGGUCGCAAGACUAAAACUCAAAGGAAUGACGGAAUCGUCGACUGCAGGCCGAGGCC